rnacentral:rRNA from 1 species
ACGAGUUUGAUCAUGGCUCAGGAUGAACGCUAGCGGCAGGCCUAAUACAUGCAAGUCGAACGAGGUGCUUGAGUAGCAAUACAAGAGUAUCCUAGUGGCGAACGGGUGAGUAACGCGUGGAUGACCUGCCCCAAAGUGUGGGAUAACAGUCCGAAAGGAUUGCUAAUACCUCAUGUGGUUAUCGGAUUUAGAAACUGAUAACUAAAGCAGCAAUGCGCUUUGGGAGGGAUCUGCGUCCCAUCAGCUAGUUGGUGAGGUAACGGCUCACCAAGGCGACGACGGGUAGGGGACCUGAGAGGGUGGCCCCCCACAAUGGAACUGAAACACGGUCCAUACACCUACGGGUGGCAGCAGUAGGGAAUAUUGCUCAAUGGGCGAAAGCCUGAAGCAGCAACGCCGCGUGUGCGAUGAAGGCCUUCGGUCGUAAGCUCUUUUACCUAGGGAGUGAUAAUGACAGUACCUGGAGAAUAAGACUCCGGCUAACUCCGUG